rnacentral:lncRNA from 1 species
GGAAUUCUGUUGACCGAGGGGAAGGUGUUAGGCACCCCUCGAUCCCGUGGUUCGACCACGGUCGCUUGGUGGAGCAUAUCGGCUAAUUUUGACACUAUGAAUGUACAACCCACACAAAACACAUAAAACAAUCAAACAAACAAACAAAACAAAAAGAAUCAAUAGUACAGUGUCCAGUCCAAUUUAUACAGUCCAAAAAUAAAAAUGCAAAAAUAAAUCCUAUCUAACCUACACUAGUACUAGCUACGCUCCCGUGCUUUACCCGACGCCUCGGACCUUCAUCAUGAACGUCCUUCGAGUACAAAAUACCCCAGGGCAUUCCCCGGUGAAUAAAGAUAUACAGAUACUUCGGGGCAUUCCCCGACCAAAUAGUACAAUUGAUCCAAAAGUGAUAAAACAAAACCAUUCAACACACAUUUCAACAUUCACGCAUUGAAUCAACACAUCACUCCUAAUUUUUGCCUACCCACACCUAAAUAUUUUUUCCUAUCUAAUUCGACCUAUCAGGAUACUAUCAAGCUCGAUAUCAAUGAAUCAAAUCAACAAAAUCAUUUUUAUCAACUUUUAACUUCCGCUCCACAACAAUCAAUUUUAAUUCUCAAACGAGAUAUCAUUUCAUCACAUAAUCCAUAAUCAAUCCACUAUCAAGGGAAUAAAAUACCGAACUAGAACAACAACAAUUCACAUCAUCACGAAUUAACAACACACAAUAUUAAAAUUAAUGCAUCGGAUACCAUCAAUAAUAAAACAAAAAGAGGUAAAGAGUAGAAUUGGACCUCGAUGAUGAUUUUAUUCCAAAUAUCAGUCAAUCAAAAAGGCAGAAUCCGUGCACCGAAGAACCUCAAUUCGAACCUCGACUACGAACUUGCCAACUCGAUCAAAAACCCCUAAAACAGCGAACAAAAUCACAAAAAAUAAAACCCAAAGCUCAAAUUUCAAAUGCAGUUUGCAACGGGUCUCGUCGGAUUUGCUAUUUUUGGUGAAGUUUGAACUUGUCAAAGUUUUGAUGGAUCUCGACAGUCAGCGAAAUAAUAUUUCCCAACAAGAUUUCAUUGGAAAUGAAAGUGGGUUUUACCGGUAGGCUCGACUAUUGAUUUCUGGUGGAGGUGGGCUGUUUAACCAUUGAUUUACGAUGGGUUUGCGGGUGAUUUGAUCUAAUUUCGACUGGGAUCGGUGAUGAGGGCCCCUUCCCGGUGAAGGACGUCAUAUCGAUGUUCUCCGACGACUGUGUCGCCGGAACAGUAACCAAACACGACUCUACCUCCACUUUCGAUCCUCAGCUCUACCUCUCACUCGAUUUCACUCUCUCUCUCUCUCUUUUUGGUUUCUCCCAAUUUCUCCCUCUCUCUCUCUGGUUUUCUCAUUCUCGAUUUCUCCAAUCUCUCCUUAUUUUUUUCACUCUCUCGAUCUCGACUCCCCUCGUCCCUCGUUGUUUUUCUCUAUUGUCUACUGUGUGUAUUGUCAAUCUAUGAGUGUAUUGGUCAUUUUGGGUGAAGAAUUAUAGAGAAGAUGAUACGUGUACGUCCUUUUUUGGGGGAUCAAUGAGAGGAUUUUGUGUGUAGUGGUGUCUUGAAGAAGAAGUUGUGCAUUUGUUGUGUAUAUGGAAGAAUGAAAAAAAAAAAUUCAAUCCCUUCUCAAUUGUUCUGUAUAUAUGCCAAAAAAUAGAAGAGAGUAGUAUGUGAGCAUUCUCUUGGGGAAUCUCAUGUGGACCCCCUCCCAUUCUUUUUUGUUAUCUUGUUUACACGUCCCCUUUAUUGUUAUGCAAAAUGCCAAUAAAAAAUUAAAAAAAAAACGUGUAAUGGUGUAAAGAGGGUGACAUGGGUGGGGUAGGGGUAGGUGAGGGUAAGGGUAUGGGAUGGGGUUAUGGGAAGGUGAUUAGGAUAAAGUUUGUUAGGGAGUGGUUGUUGAUUUGUUAUCAAAAGAAUAUUCUUGAAUUAAAUUGGUUAGAGGUUUGUUACUAUUAUUAUCUUUUGUAUUUUGUGGGGGUAAUCACAUGGAUGAGGGUACGUGGUGAGGUGAGUUAAAAAUAGAUAAAAAUUGGACUUUGAGGGGGACAAAAUUAUGUGUCUACAUCAUGCCCCCAUUGAAUGUAAACACGCAGUGUUUUCAGACAAAGAAGUAGACAACGAGACAGAAUUUUGACCCGACCAUUGUUCAAAGGAAGGAACAGAAGGAAGAAGGACAAACGAGUCUUGACUUAGGACAACCUACCUACCCAAGUUAUGGAGGAAUCAAGUGAACGAUAUUUCAAAAGGCUGGAAGAGAAGAGGACUAUACCGAGUUGGAGAGUCGAGUGAGGUUCCAUCGAGGUUCCGGUCCGUGACUCUGUCAUUACAUCAAAAAAUAAAAAUUACAAGUUAAAACAUAAAUGAAAUUAUAAAAUCCUAUCUAUACAGCUUCUGUUGGCUCUUGACUCGAAUUUUAUCACUUUAUUCUUUAGGCGGGCUCCUGACUUGCAAUUUCUUUCAACUUGUAGCUUGGCUUUCAAUUGCUUAACUUUGUUGCAUGACUGUUCAUUUCUUCACCCUAUUCUCCAGGCGGGCUCCUGACUUGCUAUUUCAUCACUUUGUUGCUUGACUUUUCAUUUCUUCACUCUGUUCUCUAGGCGGGCUCCAGACUUGCUAUUUCAUCACACUGUUCUUCAGGCAGGCUCCUGAAACCCAAAAUUAAAAAUAGAACGAAAAUUAUCCCAAACAAAAAUUAUAGUAAACUAGUAUUUCAUUUUUUGAAAGCGUUGUCCCAUUUUCCAGGAGGGUCCUGAACAGAAAGUAAAGUCCCAUUUUUCAAGAGGGUCCUGAACUUAAAGUAAAUUUUCAUUCUUCAGAAGGGCCCUAAACAUAAAGUAAAAUCCCAUUUUUCAAGAGGAUCCUAAACAUAAAGUAAAAUCCCAUUUUUCAGGAAGGUCCUGAAUAGAACGUAAAAUCUUAAUUUUCAGAACAGUCCUGAACAGAACGUAAAAUCCCAUUUUGCAGGAUGGUCCUGAAUAGAAAGUAAAAUCCCAUUUUUCAGGAGGGUCCUGAGCAGAAGGUAAAGUCCUAUUUUUCAGGAGGGUCCUGAACAGAAAGUAAAAUUCAAUUUUUCAAGAGGGUCCUGAGCAGAAGGUAAAGUCCCAUUUUUCAAGAGGGUCCGGAACAGAAAGUAAACUCCCAUUUUUUAGGAGGAUCCUGAACAGAAAGUAAAGUUUCAUUUUUCAGGAGGGUCCUGAACAGAAGGUAAAAUUCCAUUUUCAGGAGGGUCCUUAACAUAAAGUAAAGUCCCUAUUUCAGGAGGGUCCUAAACAGAAAGUAAAAUCACAUUCUUAAGGAGUGUCCUGAGUAGAAGGGAAAGUCCCAUUUUUCAGGAGGGUCCUGAACAGAAAGUAAAGUCUCAUUUUUCAGGAGUGUCCCGAACAAAAAGUAAAAUCUCAUUUUUUCAGGAGGGUCCUGACAAACAGUAAAAUUCCAUUUUCCAAGAGGGUCCUGAACAGAAGGUAAAAUUCCAUGUUUCAGGAGGAUCCUGAACAUAAAGUAAAGUCCUAUUUUUUAGGAGGGUCCUGAGUAGAAGGGAAAGUGUCAUUUUUAAGGAGGGUCCUGAACAGAAGGUAAAGUCCCAUUUUUUAGGAGGGUACUGAACAGAAAGUAAAAUCUCAUUUUUCAGGAGGGUCAUAAGCAGAACGUAAAAUCCAAUUUUUCAGGAGGGUCCUCAACAGAAAGUAAAAUCCCAUUUUUCAAGAGGGUCCUGAACAUAAAGUAAACUCCCAUUUGUCAGGAGGGUCCUGAAAAAAUAGUAAAACUCCAUUUUUCAGGGGGGGUCCUGAGCAGAAUGUAAAAUCUUAUUUUUCAGGAGGGUCCUGAACAAAAAGUAAAAUCCCAUUUUUCAGGAGGGUCUUGAGCAGAACGUAAAAUAGCAUUUUUCAGGAGGGUCCUGAAAAGAAAGUAAAAUCCCAUUUUUCAGGAGGGUCCUGAGCAGAAGGUAAAGUCCCAUUUCAGGAGGGUCCUGAACAGAAAGUAAAAUCUCAUUUUUUAGGAAGGUCUUAAACAAACAGUAAAAUUAUAUUUUUCAGGAGGAUCCUGAACAGAAAGUAAAGUCCCGUUUUUCAGGAGAGCCCUGAACAUAAAGUAAAGUCCUAUUUUUUAGGAGGUCCUGAACAGAAAGUAAAAUCCUAUUUUUCAGGAGGGUCCUGAGCAGAAAGUAAAGUCCCAUUUAUCAAGAGGGUCCUGAGCAGAAGGUAAAGCCCCAUUUUUUAGGAGGGUCCUGAACAGAAAGUAAAAUCUCAUUUUUUAGGAGGGUCCUGAGCAGAAGCUAAAGUCCCAUUUUUCAGGAGGGUCCUGAUCAAAAAGUAAAGUCCCAUUUUUCAGGAGGGUCCUGAACAGAAAGUAAUGUCCCAUUUUUCAGAAGGGUCCUGAACAGAUAGUAAAAUCUCAUUUUUUAGGAGAGUCCUGAACAAACAGUAAAAUUUUCUUUUCCAGGAGGGUCCUGAACAAAAGGUAAAAUUCCAUUUUUCAGGAGGGUCCUGAACAAAAGGUAAAAUUCCAUUUUUCAGGAGGGUCCUGAACAGAAAGUAAAAUCUCAUUUUUCAGGAGGGUCCUGAGCAGAAAGUAAAAUCUCAUUUUUCAGGAGGGUCCUAAACAGAAAGUAAAGUCCCAUUUUUCAGGUGGGUCCUGAACAAAUAGUAAAAUCUCAUUUUCUAGGAGGGUCAUGAACAGAAGGCAAUAUUCUAUUUUUCAGUAGGGUCAUGAAUAUAAAGUAAAGUCCCAUUUUUCAGGAGGGUCCUGAACAGAAAGUAAUGUCCCAUUUUUUAGGAGGGUCCUGAAUAGAUAGUAAAAUCCCAUUUUUUAGGAGAGUUCUGAACUAUCAGUAAAAUCCCAUUUUCUAGGAGGGUCUUGAAAAAAAAGGUAAAAUUUCAUUUUUCAGGAGGGUCCUGAACAUAAAGUAAAGUCCUAUUUUUCAGGAGGGUCUGAACAGAAAGUAAAAUCUCAUUUUUUAUUUGGGUCCUGAACAGAAAGUAGAAUUCCAUUUUUCAGGAGGGUCCUGAGCAGAAAGUAAAGUCCCAUUUUUCAGGAGGGUCCUGAACAAAAAGUAAAAUCCCAUUUUUCAGGAGGGUCCUAAGAAGAAGGUAAAGUCCCAUUUUUCAGGAGGGUCCUAAAUAGAAAGUAAAGUCCCAUUUUUCAGGAGGGUCCUGAACAGAAAGUAAAAUCCCAUUUUUCAGGAGGGUCCUGAGCAGAAAGUAAAGUCCUAUUUUUCUAGAGGGUCUUGAGCAGAAGGUAAAGUCCCAUUUUUCAGAAGGGUCCUGAACAAAGGUAAACUUCCAUUUUUCAGGAGGAUCCUGAACAUAAAGUAAAGUCCUAUUUUUCAGGAGGGUCCUGAACGUAAAGUAAACUCCCAUUUUUCAGGAGGGUCCUGAACAGAAAGUAAAAUCCCAUUCUUCAGGAGGGUUCUGAACAUAAAGUAAAAUCUCAUAGAUGUGCAUUUCGAAUGGGAGCUGAAUUAAGUGAAGUGGAUUUGCCCCUAUUUCAACAAAGAAAAUUUGUCAAUUAAAAACUUAGUGGUGGCUUGCAGCUCUUGGCUUCUCAGUUAUCUGCCCCAGCACUCGUUUCUUUCAUCUUUGUUCCAAAUCGCUGACACUUGCCCUGUCUUGCCGCAUUAUUAACCUGGAUCCAGAUUGAGGGAAAUGAGUUCUGACUCGAACAAUGGGUUUCCUUUUACCAUGCCUCUGAGGUGCACCCUUUUCCCAAAUCAGAAUGCUUCCACGAAUCCAACAGUCUGUCGGUUGAUAGACUUUCUUUGCUUCGUGUUGAAUUACGAUCAUAUUUCUUUCAUAUGUUGUUCCUUGACUUUUCCUUAUAUAAUUGUAAAGACUGGUAGUGAAUUUUGAAAUCCUUCCUCGCUUGUUUUGACACAGACUUGACUUAAAAUGUAAAGAAAUGAUGGUGACUUUUAUUUUGAUAAAUGACAUAAAAAGACAAAAAGCAUGAAUAUGUAAAUGAAAGAAAAGGGCAAUGUCCCAUAUUCAAAAAGAAAACUUAUCUGAAUACGGCAACCAACUCCAAUGGGUAUAACAUGCAUUUUGGAUUAAGCUGCCUGAUCUUCCUAUCCAAACUUCCCAUUUGUUGUUGAGUUCGUGCCUUUGUCGCUGAGCCGCUUCUUCAAAUCAUUGGACUCAUACAUUACAUUCAAUUGACGACAUCUUAAAAUACUUUCGCCAACAAAUCUCUUUUUUUUCACUUUUCACUUUUCUCUUGAACUCGCCAUCACCUUACGGCGCCCGUGAGGGUUUUCACCAAUAAAACUCUCUCAUUUUUAUUUCUCUCCACUCACCAUCGCCUUAUGGUACCUGUGAGGAUUUUCACCAAUAAGACUCUCUCAUUUUCAUUUCUCUCAACUCACUAUCGUCUUAUGAUGCCCAUGGGGGUUUUCACCAAUAAGACUCUCUCUCAUUUUGUAUUUCUUUCUUGAUUUCUUACGCUGAGGGAGACAAGUGGUACCUCACAAUGUAUCAUCAUAUCCAUUGCAUGCUUAGCCUUAACAUUAUCAAAAAUUGAUCUGAAGGAUUUUCUUUAGUUGUAACUUGGCCUUCGGAUAAGGUUAGAAAAGGAUGGCAAGAGGUUUAAAUGAGACUUGAAGUGGGGUGGGACUUACAGCUUUUGGAAUCGAAUCAAACAACACAUUAAGUCAUGCCCCAGUUUUUGUUGACUGGGUGACUCUAAAAUCUUUAUUUGGUUGGACCGAUCCCGAAAUAGGGCAGCCUACGUAUCUCACUCCUAAGAGAGGAGAAUCAGGUCGCAUGUAGCUCCAUAAGCUUGUUCUUUAUUUUUAUUUGAUUUUUUUUUGGACCUCUUUCUUUUAUUCUUAUUUUCUUGAUAUUUAUAUUUGACUCUAUUUUCAUUCCAAAAGAGGGAUAUGAAAGAAAAAAUAAAACGAAGCUCAAACGGGUAAACAAAGGAUGACACAAUGUUUGGAUAGAAGAAAAAAAUGCCUUCAUCAUAUCAAUCUUAAAAAUGGAAGUACUAAACAUGUAAUAAAAUCAACAAAGGAUAAAAUAUCAUACAUAAUAUCUUUUGACCGCAUCAACAUUAAUAGCCAUUUCUGCCAUUUUGCCUUCAAUAUCUUUCAAAUAUAAGGAUCCAUUGGGCAACACUUUCUUCAUAACGAAGGGACCUUGCCAGUUAGGGGAGAACUUGCCUUUCGCUUCAACCUGGUGAGGAAGGAUAUGUUUCAAUACCAACUGACCAACUUCAAAAUUCCUGGGAUGGACCUUUUUGUUAUACGCUCGAGCCAUCCUCCUCUGAUACAACUGGCCAUGACACACAGACGUUAGCCUUUUUUUCUCAAUCAAACUCAAAUGCUCCAGUUGGGUUUUUACCCAUUCGUCAUCAUUAAUCUCUACUUCUACAAUGACUCGAAGAAAAUUUCAACUUCUGCAGGGAUGACUGCUUCUGUCCCAUACACCAAUAAAUAUGGAGUUGCCCCUGUUGAAGUGCGAACAAUGGUGCGAUAACCUAGCAAUGCAAAUGGCAAAUUUUCAUGCCAAUGUCUAGACCCUUGUACCAUUUUUUGCAGUAUGUUUUUUAUAUUCUUAUUGGCGAAUUCUACAGAACCAUUGGCCUUUGGGCGAUAUGGAGUAGAAUUUUGAUGUGCGAUCUUAAACUGUUGACGCACUCCUUGCAUCAAAUGCCUAUUGAGAUUGGCAGCAUUGUCUAUAAUGAUCAUCUUAGGAAUUCCAAACCUACAAAUGAUGUUGGCAUGAAUAAAAUCUACCACAGCCUUCUUUGUCAUUGACUUAAAAGUUACUGCUUCUACCCACUUUGUGAAGUAAUCAAUGGCUACCAAAAUGAAUCUAUGUCCAUUUAAUGCCUUCGGCUCAAUCGGUCCAAUCACAUCCAUUCCCCAAGCCACAAACGGCCAUAGAGCGGCCAUUGCAAACAAUUCAGUAGGAGUAGAACAUAUCAUAUCACCGUGUACCUGACAUUGAUGACACUUUCAAACAAAUCGAAUAAAAUAUCUCUCCAUAGUAAGCCAGUAAUAACCUGCUCGAAGAAUCUUCUUUGACAAGACAUGACCAUUCAUAUGCAACCCGCAUACUCCAGAGUGUAUUUAAACCAUGAUUGUCGAGGCUUCUCUUGCAUCUACACAUCUCAAAAUUCCCAGAUCUGGGGUUCUCUUAUAUAAGAUCCCCCCACUUAAUAAAAAUCCACUAGCCAAAUGCCUAAUAGUCCUCUUUUGAUCGUUGGUGGCAUAUGUUGGGUAUUCUCCUGACUGCAUGUAUCGCUUGAUAUCCAAGAACCAGGGUUCUCCAUUGAGCUAUUCUUCAACCGCAUUACAGUAAGCAUACUGAUGACGACUCUGUAUAUGCACAGGAUCGAUGUAGGCUUUAUAAGGAUGUUGGAGCAUUGAAGAUAGAGUGGCUAAAGCAUCAGCAAUUUCAUUAUGAAUCCUUGGAAUAUGCCUAAAUUUUACUAACACAAACCGUUGACAUAACUUCUGCAAGCAUUGUCGAUACGGGAUGAGCUUCAAAUAUUGUGUCUCCCAAUCUCCUUAAAUUUGAUGGACGAGCAAAUCCGAAUCUCCCAGCAUCAAUAAUUCCUGGACUCCCACAUCAACAACUAACCUCAAACCAAGAAUGCAAGCUUCAUGCUCUGUCAUGUUGUUAGUACAGUAAAAUCGAAGUUGUGCUAUUAUCGAGAAAUAUUGUCCCGAUUCAGAGAUAAGAACUGCACCUAUUUUGACUCCUUUUAUAUUGAUAGCUCCAUCGAAGAACAACUUCCAACCUGGAUCAGUAUCUAUAAUGGCUUCAUCGACACACGACACUUCCUCAUCAGGAAAAUAUGUCUUUAAUGGCUCGUACUCUUCAUUGAUGGGAUUCUCAGCAAGAUGAUCUGCCAAGGCUUGGGCUUUCAUGGCAAUUCGAGUCACAUAUACAAUGUCAAACUCAGUAAGCAAUAUUUUUCAUUUUACCAAUUGACCUGUCGGCAUAGGUUUCUGAAAGAUAUACUUCAAAGAAUCCAUGCGGGAGAUGAGAUAAGUAGUAUAGGAUGAGAGAUAAUGCUUCAACUUCUGUGCUACCCAAGUUAAGGCACAACACGUCCUUUCAAGAAGAGUAUACCUGGCCUUAUAUGCAGUGAACUUCUUGCUAAGAUAAUAAAUAGCCUGCUCCUUUUUGCCUGUGACAUCAUGUUGACCCAGGACACAACCAAAAUAAUUGUCCAUGACUGAUAAAUAUAAGAUCAAAGGCCUACCAGGCUCCAGUGGUACCAGCACGGGCGAAUUUGACAAAUAUCUUUUGAUUCUGUCAAACGCUUCCUGACAUUCUUCAGUCCAUUCUACCGCAGCACUCUUUUUUAGAAACUUGAAUAUGGGCUCAGAAGUGGUUGUGAGUUGAGCAAUAAACCUGCUAAUGUAGUUCAGUAUACCAAGCAAACUCAUCACCUCUGUCCUAUUUUUGGGUGGGGGCAAAUCUUGAAUGGCUUUCAUUUUCGAGGGAUCCGAUUCAAUCCCCUGACGGCUGACCACAAACCCCAAAAACUUUCUAGAUGGAACUCCAAAUACAUAUUUUGCCGGGUUGAGCUUGAGAUUAUACCUGCAAAGCCUUUCAAAGAACUUUCUUAAAUCUUUAACAUGGUCGGCCCGACUUUUUGACUUAAUAAUCACAUCAUCCACGUAUACCUCAAUCUCCUUAUGCAUCAUAUCAUGAAACAUAGUAGUCGUGGCUCUCAUGUAUAUUGCUCCAGCAUUCUUCAAACCGAAUGGCAUCACUCGAUAACAAUAUAUCCCCCAUGGUGUGAUAAAAGACGUCUUCUCUGUGUCUUCAUCAUCCAUAACGAUCUGGUGAUAUCCGGUAUAGCAAUCCAUAAAAGAGGCAACCUUGUGUUUAGCACAGUUGUCUAGCAAAAUAUGGAUGUUGGGCAGUGGAAAAUCAUCUUUUGGACUUGCUCUAUUCAAAUUACGGUAAUCAACACAUACUCAAAUUUUGCCAUCUUUCUUUGGUACGGGAACAACAUUGGAUAACCACAUGGGAUAACGAGCCACUCGUAUUACUUACUUUGGCUUUAAAUUGUUUCAUGAUUUCCUCUUUGAUUUUAAUACUUACAUCAGUUUUAAACUUCCUCAACUUUUGUUUAACAGGAGGAAAUGCGGGGUCAGUUGGCAAUUUGUGAGCCACUAAUUCAGUUCUCAAACAAGGCAUAUCAUCAUAAGACCAUGCAAAAAAUCCUUAUAAUCAAUUAGUGCUUGAAUCAUUUCAUCUUUUAGCUGUGGCAAAGCAUGUACACUGAUUUUAGUUUCCCUAACAUCUUCUUGAUUUCUUAGAUUUAUUGGCUCAGUCUCAUUCAAAUUAGGAUUCGGUUUGUCUUCAAACUGUUCCAACUCUUUGCUUAUUUUUUCUAGUGCUUCUUCUUCAUCAUAUUUUCCAUCCUGCUUCAUUACAUCUUGAUUAGUUUGGAUUUGAAGAUCAGGCUGAAAAUUUUGCAUGCAUGUCAUGUCAUUAAAAUUAGCAUAAAGAGAACUGUACAUAUAUAAAAAAAAAAGAAAAAUAAAAUAUAUUAGAGACAAAACAAAAGGGACAUAGCAUUUCAUUAAAUAAAAAGAUAGAAGGGUUUAAGAAUAGAUGCCAACAUAACAUAAACAAACUAAAAUCCGAGUUACAACCCUGAAAUAACUCGGAUAAAUAGAAAGAAAAACAAAAUAAACUACCAAAACUCUCUCCUGACGGGGAUAAGAGUAACUUUCCAAUUAUUGAGUCGGACGGCUGGACCUAUGAAUUGCACAUCUGCCAUACUGGUGUCUUCUCCUGCUUAGACCAUAUCAACUUCAAUAAAAAGUUUCUGGCAGUUAUCAACCAAUUCAACUUCAAAUUCCAUAUGCUUCAUGACACCGCUCUUAACCAAUGAUUCACUGAGUAGUGGCAUUGGGCGAGAGAGUGACCAUGUUUCCUUUUUCCUUCCCUUGGCUUUCUUCAGAUCUUUAACCGUAGGCUUAAAUCCCAGACCAAACGUGCCCACGUACUCACUCGAAUAUAUGGGAUGAACUAUACCAUGCAGAGACGCUCCCAAACCCUUUCCUGGCUCAAAUCCAUAUUUCCAAAGUUCACUCACCUUCAUGAUAGAAGCGGAAGACAAUUGCUGUCCUGGUAUAACCUAUCAUUCAAGGAUACGAUUCACUGGCACUGUAUCAAAAAUUUGAUAGACGAAUGUCUCCUCUACGUUAUUUGCUUCAAUAAGAGACAAGGGAGAAUCUUCACAGGCGGACAAAUCUCCUUCACUGUGAAUAACCACUUCUUGCCUAUCAUGCUCAAACUUAAUCAUUUGAUGCAGUGUAGAUGCAACUGCCUUGGCCUUGUGGAUUCAGGGCCUUCCCAACAACAGAUUGUAAGAGGAGUCUAUAUUCAAUACUUGAAACUCUAUGGUGAAUUCAACAGGCCCUAUGAUCAACAUUAGUUCUAUUUUGCCAAUGGAGUUUGAUUUUGUACCAUCGAAAGCCCUGCCACAUACAUUGUUGGGCCUGAUCCUCUCAGUACCAAUAUUCAACUUUUGCAAAGUAGAAAUAGAGCAGAUAUUUAAACCUGAACCUUCGUCAAUCAUAACAUGAGUGACGUAGAAAUCUUCAUACUUCACUAUAAUGUAAAGGCCCCGAUUAUGCCCUGUACCUUUAACAGGAAAUUUAUCGUCAGAAAAGCUGAUCUGAUUGACCUCAAAGAUUUUUUCGACCAUUUUCUCAAGCUAAUUUAUUGUAAUCUCCCUAAGAACAUAUGCUUCAUUUAAUACCUUCAGUAAAAUAUCACGAUGCUCCUUGGAGUGCAACAAUAAAGAUAAGAGGGAAAUUUGAGCAGGGGUUUUCUUCAACUGGUCUAUUAUUGAAUACUCUAGCAAUUUCAUCUUUUUCAAAAAUUCUUCAACUUCUUCUUCGGUGAUAGGCUUUUUGAUAGAUGACGGUCCACUCACAAUUGGCGUGGACUUUCUUAAACUUUCAGGCAUGAAGCAUCUUCCUGACCUAAUCAAACCCCUACCUCAUCUACAUCUUCCACUACUUCUUUCCCAUGAUAGGUCAUCACAGCCCGCCCAUAACUCUAGGGAACCCUUUUCGUAUCAACUAUCGAAGGUUGGGUCACCGGUUUGAGAAUAAUAGGCUCUGUCAAUGCUUCUUUCAUCGAUAAGAUGGGCUUACUCGGAGCUCCUACCACUGUCAACUUAGGUUUAUCCUGACUUAAAUCAACAUACCUUCUGGCACCUUGCACAGUGAUCAGGGGUUUCUUUGUGCUUUCUUGGGCUUUAUUUUCUCUCAUUCCUUCCUGGCUCAAUGACAUAGCUUUUAAAGACUCUGCUACAUUAAUCGAUUUUUCCUCAAUGGUCUGUAUCUUGACGAUAGGCUUAUAACACCUUGAUCCCGUUAUAUAUCAAUUCUAAUAUAUUGGUUUCAGUAUGGGUUGGAAGCGGAUUCUAGUUAAUGUUUGAACCCUUUGGGGCCUGGACCAGCAUCUGAUUUGUGUCAAUUAAAUCUUGAACAGCUCUCUUUAAAUGCCAACAUUUCUUGAUAUUAUGGCCUGGUAUGUCAAAACAGUACGCAUACCUUAAAGAAUAAUCGAUAUUCCUCGACGGUGGAUUUGAAAGUCUUUCUUGAAUUGGAAUUAAGACCUUCAACUUUCUUAACCUAUCAAACAAUCUAGCAUAUGACUCGCUAAGAGGUGUGAAUUGAUUUUUGACUGCCUUCUCUUUCUUAUAAUCGGGCCUAGGUUGAAAACCGGGUCUGGAGGGGUUUUGGUAAUUCGGUAAAGCGAAUUGGAAAUUUUAUGGGGCUUGCACGCGCUAUUGCGGAUAAGAAGGGGUUUGGGCAAUGGUUGCGCGCUAUAUACUGGGUACGGGGGUGGUGGAAUGGAAUAUAAAGAGUUUUGUGGAGGUUAGUAAUGGUGGGGAGGAAUAUAUGGAGCUUGGGCAUAGACUUGGGCUUGGGAUUGGGGAUAGGGGCGAGGUGGCCUUUUGGGAUAGGAAUGGGUUCCAGCUACGAUUGUCGCCACGUCCUCUUUCUUCUUUUUACCUCCAAGUACGCCAGAUCCACCUUGAAUCGCUUGUGUGGUGGCUUUCAAUGCGGCAAAACUCACUAUUCAGCCGGUCUUAAUUCCAUCCUCUACCAUCUCCCCCAUUUUGAGGACUUCAAUAAAAGACUUUCCCAUUGCCGAAAGUAAAUGCUAAAAAUAGGUCUCAUCCUGUGCCUAAAUUAAAACCUCUACCAACUUGCUUUCUUUCAUUGGAGGCUUUACCCUGGCGGCCUGUUCACGCCACCUUAUUGUGUAUUCCCUACAACCUUCAGUGCUUUUCUUCUUCAUAUUGACCAAGGAUUUUUCGUCCGAAAUCAGGUCAAUGUUAUACUAAAAAUAUUGCACAAGCUCAGAAGCUAAGUCAUCCCAGUUGUUCCACUUAUCGAUAUCUUGAUCGAUAAACCAUUCUGAAGCCAGAUCAGAAAGACUCUCGCCAAAGAAACCCAUGAGCAUAUCUUCCCUUCCUCCUGCAGCCCUCAAUUGGUUGCAAUAACGUCUCAAGUAUGCCAUGGGAUCACCGUGCCCUACAUACUUCUUGAACUUGGGCAUUUUGAAACCGAGGGGAAGGUUGAUGUCUGGGAACAUGCAAAGAUCUUUAUACGAAACACUCUUAUAACCUUCGAUUCCCUGCAAAUUCCUCAUGGCCUAUUCGAAACUUUUCAACUUCCUAUUCCUCUAUUGCGAUAGGUUUCUCCGUAUCAAAUGGAAAUACAGGUGGCUGAGUGUACCCAUACGGUUCAUUCAUUCUCAAAGUAGGCUCCGGGGUAUAAUACUGACUAUUUGAAACCUUCAAUACUGGCUCACUGGCAGACUUAGGAAGCCUCAUUGUCGGAUGCACAGCAUAUGUGGGAGCUUCAGGUGGUGGCGGAGCCACGAAUACUGGUGCUGACUGAGCAGUGGGUCUUGAUUGGGGAGCUUCCAAGGGCACACUAGAACUGCCAGGAUAAUAAUGUCGCGGAGUGAAUCCUGGCGCGUGCUAAGGUGACUCAGUAGGAGCAGAGAAUUUUGCCUGAGAGCGGUGGGCAAUUAGAGAUAUUCCCAAGACCUUCAGGGAGCGGAGGAGGAGGCAUUCCACUGGCCCAUGCCUAGUGCAAAUCUAUCAAUUGUUGCCUGAGCCUUACUACCUCAUCAUUCUGUUCUGAACUUUCUUCUCUGUGAUCCUGAUCCGGGUCACUGAGCAAAUUUCAAUCUCCCUGCUAGCCAUGACGAACUUUACUUUUGAUCUAGUGAAGUAUGGGUGACUAGCCAGAGUGCUGCAAGCCUACCACUGUUAUCUGAAAGAACAUGCUCAUCAAAGAUGACAUCCGUUAGGAUUAGGGCACACAACAAGCAUGGGAAUCACAUUGGUAAAAUUCUCCUAAAUUCAUGUUCAUUUCUACUAGCUUUUGAGGGUAGCGAGGUCAUUUUAACAUCAUCCUGAUUUUUAUCUACACUUAUUUUUAUCUACACAUUAUUAUUAUUAAAAUUAUUAUUAUUAUUAUUAUUAUUCGCCCUCCUUUCCCUCUCUUUUUUUCGUAUCAAUCUCUGUUCUUUUCCUUUUUUGUCUCAUCAUCCUUUCUUUCUUUUCUUCUCUCGCCAUCUACCUUCAUUUUAUCAUUCUUUAUGGCUUUUGAUUUUCUUUUUAAAAAAAUGAAAAACAACGAAACAAAAUGAUUAGAUAGAACCCAAAAGUAGGUUGCCUACGUAUCAACUUGACUCCGACUUAAAACAGGCGCCACCCUACAAUGAAAGAAACAUAAAAGACUCAAAUUGAAUAAAGAUAAGAAAUGCUCUUUCAGACUGGUGCUCUGCGUGAUGACCCUGGCUGAGAUGGACCUGCCUGUGAAGUUUUCUUUCUCCCAUUCAAACUUUGUAGCAUAUCCUGCAAAGACACCCUGAUAUUGGGAAAGAAGCUUCGGUCCCGUAUUCCUACCUCAUAAAGAGUGCAAUUAGAAAGAUUGUUCUGACACCUUUCUACAAUCUUGAACAAAUCCGCUAACUGAACUCUCAGUGUCUCCACUUUGGACCCCGCACUUUCAUUCUGAUGGUCAUCAACUAUGCAUUCUUCCUAUAUUCUCCCUCUAAGCUGCGUUGGUAAGGGUUGACUAAUACCCCGAGGGAUAAAUUGAAGCCAGACCCCAUAUCCCUGAGUGUACCCUGGAAUAUCCAAACUUUCUUUGAGUGUGUCCACACCUAGCUUUGUUGCAUGCUUCCAAAACUGCUCGUACUUGCUCUUACCUAAGGCUUGGUCCUUAAAGUACUCAACAUCCAUCAGAAGAUCCACUGCUGGUGGCACGUCCUGCAGCCUACCCAACUGGUACAUUACCCUAGAAGGACUGUAUGGUCUAGUGCAAUUGAGCCCUAACAUAACUAAAAGGAGCUGCGUCUGACAACCAAACAAGAUUAUCUUUAGUCGAAGCCACAUAUAAGUCCACAAAAUGUUAUCCCCGAUUCUUGACUCAAGAAAUUCAAUCCAAGCGUCGACUCCCACUGGUAGCGAGAAUUUAUCCAAACACAACCUGAAGUCCAUGGCUUUCACUCGAUUAGGAAUACAACGAUCAACCACGUCUAGUCUAACUGCAAUAUCAGGUUAUUGCCCUAAAAAAAUCUCAUCCCCCCUUCACUUUGGUUAAAGCCUUAUAUAUUUCUGUUAAGAUCAUGGGUAUGAGAGUGAACCUACCCUUUUGAUCAACGACCUUCCCCUUUUGAAUAGUGCCCUUGUCAUUUUGAUCCUUAUGAAAUAGAGCCAUCACCACAGAUUGCAAAUGGUUAUUAAUACGUCUUUCUUCUAGAGGAAACACUAAAAUACCUAACAAAGCGAGGCUGAAAACUUCAAGACGCUUUCUCUCCCACUUCUCCUUAGUCAUAUGAAAUUCAUCCCAAAAGCAAUCAAAACCUUCCGAGGACCCAAAUCUAGCAAGUAGAAAGUCUAAAGAAAUCCAUGAUUGAUUCAGACAACCCAAAUGUCCGUUAUUACUCUUCAAACCACACCCUUGUAGAAACCUUUUGCCCGAGUGAUUCCGAGCUCGGAUCAUACUUUUGUCAAUAUAAGGCAAAUAAAGCAGACCAGAUAAUUCUGCCAACAUAGGCGUCAUUUCACACUUUCCGAACCUAAACACCAAAUUACUAGGAUCUCAAAAGGUCAGCACAGUAUCUAUUAGGUCUGGACGGGGUGGGACAUGCAGAAGUUCCGUAAGAUCACCUAAUAUCUUAAAUAGCUCUUGCUGGUCAGCGUAGUUGAACGUGCUCCACCACUUUAUUAACUUUUUGGGCACUUUGGAAACCAUUAAGACUCUAGACCCUGUAGGCUUCAUCCUGUAGUAACAAGCCAAACUUACAACUCAAAAAUUCAAAACAAGACAAGGAAUUCCCGACCCUUGGGAUUUUAUCUUAGAAAAAAUAUCGUGUGACAUAGAGGGACAGAUCGACAUAUAACUCAAAUUCACCGAACAGUACCGCCGAAUGAAAUCAGCCUACUUGGCAAGAAUUAAUUGACAACGCUAGAUUACGAGAAGGAAAACCCAGGCUAAGACUAAGACAAAGGCCAAAAAAUAAAGAUUAAAAUUACUGGACCCACCGAGGGUUGCCUACGUAUCCCGUCCCAAGGGACGGGAAUCAGGUACGCGUAGUUCAUCUAGAUUGGUCAAUUAAUGAUUAAAUAACAGGCUAGACCCUAACUUAAGAGAUACGACCAAAGACAGACGAUGAACCAUGUUAAUAAAAUCUUUUGAGUUUUCAUUCUGAUACUUCACAGAAAAGUGACAUCAACAACUAUGAAAGAAAAAUCUUUUCGGUAUUUUUGUUAUACGAAAUGUAAAAAAAUUUCUAACAUCUUUUUUUUUUUUUUUUUUUUCUAUAAACACUUCCUAUGAAUGAAAAAUAUCUUUUGAAGUUUUCGAAUUGUGAAUGCAUGCUAAACGAGACAAAGGAAAAUCGUUUUGAUGUUUUUGAGAAAAUGAGUGCGAAAGUUAAAAAAGUCCUUUUGAAUUUUGGAUUUGUGAAAAAUAAAAGCCAUAAAAACUCUAAAAACUACGAAACUCUUUUUUUUUUUCACUACCCACACACUUUACUUCUAACACAUGUUUUUUCAAAUCAGUCCAUCAAAUGACCACGUUAUCCUCAAAGAUGCAACAUUUAGCACGUAGGGAUGCUUUAGAGGUGAGUCUCCUACAAAGGACCAAGUGGGCCCCGCUAGGUCUCAAUAUGAUGCACAUAAGCAUGACCUAAAGGCUGACCUACGUUGGGGUUCACUAACAAAGCUGUUCGAGGGAGCGUAUGGAAAUAGUGGUUGUGAUAGCUUUCCACCUACUCCAUAACACCGACGGCUCCCUUCCUAAAAUAAGGGUGACUCAACUAGAGGUUGUGUACAACACGUGUACUACGAACUUGUUGCAGAAAGAAGACCGGGAGGUAGACACAUGAUGCCAGAUAUAAAAGCGAUAACACAUAGGAUAAAUACUGUACACAAAGACCACGAAAAUAUUCCAAAUGAUAAAACAAUAACACAAAACAACACAAAAAAAAAUAUUUAUACACCUAUAGUGCCAAAAAAAGCCGAUACGAAUCCAAAAUAAGCUCGAAUUCUGAACAGGUCCCCAGUAGAGUCGCCAGAGCUGUCACACCCCUUUUUCAGCAUCCAAAAGAUUCGUUUUGGGUUCGAAAGGAUUUUUAUUAUUAAGUAACAAAUGAAAAUGAUUUGUUUCGAAGAAGGAUUGUUUUUACAUUUGAAAUCAAAGUCGCCACUUGGCAUAAUCUGGUGUGCCAAGUCACCAUUGGAAAAUCCUUUUCAAAAUCAUUUGACUCUUUAAACUGGUUUGCGAAUAGAGAUUACAGCUAAGGAAUUCUGUUGACCGAGGGGAAGGUGUUAGGCACCCCUCGAUCCUGUGGUUCGACCACGGUCACUUGGUGGAGCGUAUCGGCUAAUUUUGACACUAUGAAUGUACAAAACACGUAAAACAAUUAAACAAACAAACAAAACAAAAAGAAUCAAUAGUACAAUAUCCAGUCCAAUUUAUACAGUUCAAAAAUAAAAAUGCAAAUAUAAAUCCUAUCUAACCUACACUAAUACUAGCUACGCUCCC